AUGAACGCUAGCUACAGGCUUAACACAUGCAAGUCGAGGGGCAGCAUGGUCUUAGCUUGCUAAGGCUGAUGGCGACCGGCGCACGGGUGAGUAACACGUAUCCAACCUGCCGUCUACUCUUGGCCAGCCUUCUGAAAGGAAGAUUAAUCCAGGAUGGCAUCAUGAGUUCACAUGUCCGCAUGAUUAAAGGUAUUUUCCGGUAGACGAUGGGGAUGCGUUCCAUUAGAUAGUAGGCGGGGUAACGGCCCACCUAGUCAACGAUGGAUAGGGGUUCUGAGAGGAAGGUCCCCCACAUUGGAACUGAGACACGGUCCAAACUCCUACGGGAGGCAGCAGUGAGGAAUAUUGGUCAAUGGGCGAUGGCCUGAACCAGCCAAGUAGCGUGAAGGAUGACUGCCCUAUGGGUUGUAAACUUCUUUUAUAAAGGAAUAAAGUCGGGUAUGCAUACCCGUUUGCAUGUACUUUAUGAAUAAGGAUCGGCUAACUCCGUGCCAGCAGCCGCGGUAAUACGGAGGAUCCGAGCGUUAUCCGGAUUUAUUGGGUUUAAAGGGAGCGUAGAUGGAUGUUUAAGUCAGUUGUGAAAGUUUGCGGCUCAACCGUAAAAUUGCAGUUGAUACUGGAUGUCUUGAGUGCAGUUGAGGCAGGCGGAAUUCGUGGUGUAGCGGUGAAAUGCUUAGAUAUCACGAAGAACUCCGAUUGCGAAGGCAGCCUGCUAAGCUGCAACUGACAUUGAGGCUCGAAAGUGUGGGUAUCAAACAGGAUUAGAUACCCUGGUAGUCCACACGGUAAACGAUGAAUACUCGCUGUUUGCGAUAUACGGCAAGCGGCCAAGCGAAAGCGUUAAGUAUUCCACCUGGGGAGUACGCCGGCAACGGUGAAACUCAAAGGAAUUGACGGGGGCCCGCACAAGCGGAGGAACAUGUGGUUUAAUUCGAUGAUACGCGAGGAACCUUACCCGGGCUUGAAAGUUAGCGACGAUUCUUGAAAGAGGAUUUCCCUUCGGGGCGCGAAACUAGGUGCUGCAUGGUUGUCGUCAGCUCGUGCCGUGAGGUGUCGGCUUAAGUGCCAUAACGAGCGCAACCCUUGUUGUCAGUUACUAACAGGUGAUGCUGAGGACUCUGACAAGACUGCCAUCGUAAGAUGUGAGGAAGGUGGGGAUGACGUCAAAUCAGCACGGCCCUUACGUCCGGGGCUACACACGUGUUACAAUGGGGGGUACAGAGGGCCGCUACCACGCGAGUGGAUGCCAAUCCCUAAAACCCCUCUCAGUUCGGACUGGAGUCUGCAACCCGACUCCACGAAGCUGGAUUCGCUAGUAAUCGCGCAUCAGCCACGGCGCGGUGAAUACGUUCCCGGGCCUUGUACACACCGCCCGUCAAGCCAUGGGAGCCGGGGGUACCUGAAGUGCGUAACCGCGAGGAUCGCCCUAGGGUAAAACUGGUGACUGGGGCU
rnacentral:rRNA from 1 species